rnacentral:piRNA from 1 species
UACAGAGCUUGCACAAAGUUCUGAAGC